rnacentral:rRNA from 2 species
GGCGGCGUGCCUAAUACAUGCAAGUCAGAACGAACUCUGGUAUAUGAUUGGUGCUUGCAUCAUGAUUUACAUUUGAGUGAGUGGCGAACUGGUGAGUAACACGUGGGAAACCUGCCCAGAAGCGGGGGAUAACACCUGGAAACAGAUGCUAAUACCGCAUAACAACUUGGACCGCAUGGUCCGAGUUUGAAAGAUGGCUUCGGCUAUCACUUUUGGAUGGUCCCGCGGCGUAUUAGCUAGAUGGUGGGGUAACGGCUCACCAUGGCAAUGAUACGUAGCCGACCUGAGAGGGUAAUCGGCCACAUUGAGGACUGAGACACGGCCCAAACUCCUACGUGGAGGCAGCAGUAGGGAAUCUUCCACAAUGGACGAUAAGUCUGAUGGAGCAACGACCGCGUGAGUGAAGAACGGUUUCGGCUCGUAAAACUCUGUUGUUAAAGAAGAAGCAUAUCUGAGAGUAACUGUUCUGGUAUUGACAGUAUUUAACCAGAAAGCCACGG